UACGUAGGUGGCAAGCGUUGUCCGGAUUUACUGGGCGUAAAGGGUGCGUAGGUGGAUAUGCAAGUCGGAUGUGAAAUACCCGGGCUUAACUCGGGUGCUGCAUUCGAAACUGUAUAUCUAGAGUGCAGGAGAGGUAAGUGGAAUUCCUAGUGUAGCGGUGAAAUGCGUAGAGAUUAGGAAGAACACCAGUGGCGAAGGCGACUUACUGGACUGUAACUGACACUGAGGCACGAAAGCGUGGGGAGCAAACAGG
rnacentral:rRNA from 1 species